CUUUGAGACUGGCUUACUUCAUUAAUAUAAUUUUUUCCAAGUUUCUUGAUCAUAGUUAAUGAUUCUAACUAACAGGAGAGGCCCCACCCUCCUGGUGUCACUUUGUUUUUCUUCUGACAAUUUGUCUCUCACAACUGCACUUACCAGGAUAUUUGCAUAUUGCUCCCUGGGGAGGAGCUUCUCUGCAAGUCCACCAUAAAAGCUCAGCUCUAAGCUUGCCUGGGCUGACAAGAACUGCUUACUCUCAGAAUGAGUUGCCCUGCUCAACUCCUGGGGCUGCUCAUGCUCUGGAUCCCAGGAUCCAAUGGGGUUGCUCUAUUGACCCAAACUCCACUCUCCCUGCCUGUCACCCUUGGAGAUCAGGCCUCCAUCUCCUGCAGGUCUAGUGAGAGCCUCCUGUACAGUAAUGGAAAAACAUAUUUGUGUUGGUUCGUGCAGAAGCCAGGCCAGUCUCCACAGCGACUGAUCUAUUGGGUUUCCAACCAAGAAAGCGGAGUCCCAGACAAAUUCAGUGGUAGUAGGUCAAUCACAGAUUUCACACUGACAAUCAGCAGAGUGAAAAACCAGAAUGGUAGACAUUUUGAUUCACAUGGCCUCCAAAGAGUAACCUUGCAACCCCACCCCCAUUCCAAUAACAGUCUUCAGAUUUGGGGAAUCUUCCUUGGAAGGGGAGCACUUAAGUUGGGACAUAUGGUCUCCUCUUCUUGACAGUUUCCAUGUCAGGUCCCUGAAGAGGAACUUGGGGAACUUUACAUAUGGUCAACAAAAUUCACUAUAUAUAGAAAUUGCUACUAAAACUUAGAAAAAAAGCCAACUAAAAAGAAAGCAAAUUGGGCUAGGAAUCAACAAUAAAGUGCAGGUUGGAGUUAACUAUUCACUGGUCAUUGGGCUUCACAUUUUUACCUUCUUUUAGCUUCUGAAGUACUAUUCUCCAUUACAUUUUUGUGC